GGGCGUAUGGUCUAGUGGUUACGACAUCUCAUUUGCAAUUAAUGUUUGUUGCUCUCCAAGCUGCUCCAAACAGUCAAAAAGAGUUCAAAGAUAAUACAUUGCUCACAUGUGAAGGUCCCGGGUUCGAACCCCGGUUCGUCCA